CUACAACUCAUUAAUUCACAUGACCAAAUAAUUUUCUGUUUGCAUAUUAAUUUCUAAUUUCAUUAAUCAACCGUAAAUCACGCAAGACAAGCAAUAUAUAUAUAUAUCAAGGAAGCACACUUGAAUUAUUUAACCAUUCCAGUAUAUUAUCAUGUAUUUAAAGCUGUAGAUUCAACAAUCAGUUAAACAGGACAACAAAUAAAUGACUAACCAGUUCCGCUUCCAUUGGUAACCUGUAAUUAUUCUCAAAGUUUUUUAAAUUACACAAAUACCAUAUUAUCGAUUAUUAAGCUUCAAUUCUAUAACAGAGAAUAAGAUGAUGGAUUCUUAUCUGAAUCGAUAUCUGAAACACCAAGCUUUUUACUACGCCUACUGGCGGUCGCUAGAUUUUUUGAAUUUUCUACGGAGAUUAAAACAUGUUUCACAUACCUAUCGCUAACAUGGCCUCCUGUGUGGCACCGAGUUAGUGUGUCUUGCCACGUGGUGCAUUCCAGUUCGUUGAGGUUGCUGAUUAGGCAGUCCUACAUGGUGCAAUUUUUUUUAAUUACGUUAUGACCCCCAGUUUUUUAAUUUUCUUUCAAAAACACCCGCCCAACCAAAAUUUUCACUCAUUUUUUCCAAAAUUAUUUUUAAUUUCAUUCUCAACUUAUUUUUCUCAUAAUUCCACAUUAAAUAAAAUUUUAUUAAUUUAAAAUUUACAUUUUUAUAUGUUUUUAAAAUUUUAAAAUUAAUCUCGGGCCAAAUUCUGGGACUGGGUAUUAUAACUCUUCUCUCGUAAAAGAAAUUUAUUCCCUCAAAUUUGUCUCCCUCUCAUUCAAUCAAACAGUUGGUGAUACUAGACUCUGAAGUCUGAUUCUAGCUCUCAUAUGACCUCUCUCUAUGUGUGAUUCUGCCAUAGGACCUUAACGAAAUAAAUUUUUUUGUUGCAGAGUACUCUACU
rnacentral:lncRNA from 1 species